AGGUCCGAGAGACACACCAACUUUAAGCAGAAGAAGAUGAGAGGUUCCGAAAGAAAGAAGGCAUGGCCGUCAAUGACAACAUGUACUGUUGCCAUCAACAUGUUGCAGAACUACCAAAUCUGGAAAAGCUAGUUUGUGAGAAAAUGGGUAACAUCAGAACACUUGUAUGUGAAGAACACCACCAACUUGUCAUUUCCAACCUCUGCAUCUGACUACUUCCAGGGGGAGAGAAAAGGCCAAAUCAUGCUUCUUCCUUUGUUGCCUCUGCCCAGAAGAUGAUCAUCAUGGUAUUAUCCAAUUAGCAGACUUUAUGGUGAAGUAUGGAUUCGGAAAAUGCCAGAGUCGGAGCAAAUUCAGUGGUUAAAUACCUUGCAGCUUUUAAUUCCAUAGACUGAAUUAGCCAUAACAACGUUCAGUUCAAUGGUGAUGAACAAGCGGAAGAAGUUUUCAAUUCUUUCCAAGAUACAGGUCAGAGAGAGGCACCUACUAAACCGGAUCAUCAUUCCAGAACUUUGUUGACUCUUGGUGACAGAGAAAGUAGAGAUCGAAAGAUCAAAGAGAUGUUCAGUGGUCCAUAGCCUAUUAGUGAAGAAGAAACAGCACAAAGAGAUGUUCAGUGGUCCGAA